rnacentral:rRNA from 1 species
UCCUCCAAGGCUAAAUACUCCUGACUGACCGAUAGUGAACCAGUACCGUGAGGGAAAGGCGAAAAGAACCCCGGCGAGGGGAGUGAAAAAGAACCUGAAACCGUGUACGUACAAGCAGUGGGAGCACCCUUUGGGGUGUGACUGCGUACCUUUUGUAUAAUGGGUCAGCGACUUAUAUUCUGUAGCAAGGUUAACCGAAUAGGGGAGCCGGAGGGAAACCGAGUCUUAAUUGGGCGUUAAGUUGCAGGGUAUAGACCCGAAACCCGGUGAUCUAGCCAUGGGCAGGUUGAAGGUUGGGUAACACUAACUGGAGGACCGAACCGACUAAUGUUGAAAAAUUAGCGGAUGACCUGUGGCUGGGGGUGAAAGGCCAAUCAAACCGGGAGAUAGCUGGUUCUCCCCGAAAGCUAUUUAGGUAGCGCCUCGUGAAUUCAUCUCCGGGGGUAGAGCACUGUUUCGGCUAGGGGGCCAUCCCGGCUUACCAACCCGAUGCAAACUGCGAAUACCGGAGAAUGUUAUCACGGGAGACACACGGCGGGUGCUAACGUCCGUCGUGAA